AAAGCUGAAGUCUCCACACAGAUCUGAUGUUUUCUCCAGCUGCCAUUUUUCGUCACUCCACUGGAAGAGCUUCAGUGGAAAUUUAAGUCACACUCUUCAUAAAUCCCCUGGAUGGGUGAGCAAGGAUGAAAAUGAUGCCAAAAUCACCAGCUUCAUGCAGUUUACCCCUCCCUCCUCUAUCUGGAUGUGAACAGCUGCAAUGGGACAUAUUAAUUGGUUUAUUUUAUUGAACUAAUUUCAUUGGACUUUUCCACUGGCGAUACCUUUUGUACGUAUUUUAUUGAACUUCUUUCAAUAGAUUUAUUACAUUUAUAUUGGAUUUACUAUAAUUCCAUCAUGGGAUUAUAUUGUCACUGUCUUUUUCCCACUUGUGCACUAUCCACACGUGUCCUGAGGUUCCUUCCACCUUUUUGUCUUAUUAGAGAGCUUAGGUUGUGUUAAAAACUGUUGAUUUUUGUAGGCCUAAAUAUGACUUGUUAGAGGUUUUUAAGUUUUUUUGGUAGUGCUGACUAAAUAUCAGAAAGAAUAAAAUAGUAGUUUCUCAGUUUUGCUGCAGAUUAUAUAGUGUCUGAGACUUAGUGUUUGUUUGUAGGUGCGGUACACAGCAGCUCUGUCUCAGUGAAGUGUGCCCACACCACCUGUCAUUAGCAGCAAACAGAGACUGGCGUGGGUUGUUUUUCAGUCAAUAGACUGACACACUGGCGCCAUUAUAAGCUUCAGUAAGUCGAUUAGUCUAGACUUUAAAGUAUUAGAGGAAAGAGAUGCCUUCUCACCUGAGUAGAGGAGUGCACUACUCACUCUCACCAGACCAGGCAGACUUAAACAAACACGUUAAACAGUACAAGAGGUCGGCGGAGGCCAGACAAAGGAGGAUAAGGAUGUUAUAUUUAUCUUCCAUGAGCACUACAAAAACACUACUAAUAGAAAAAAUUGUUGUUAUGCAUUAUAUGAUAAAGGAAUUAUCAGGUGUGUGAUUUUUGUGUGAAAAAUCAGACUGAAGCACAUCCUGAAAAUGAACUUGAGCAACUGUUGUGUCCUAUAGAAGAUUUCCACCAUACAGCUGAACAGGCAGAGCAUGGCGCUGACACUGCUAGUGUCAGGGGAGCGAAUCCCUCUGUGGCCAUUGUUGCUAAAAAUGUAUGCACCCACAACACUGUAAUGCUCCAUGGAUGGAAGUAUCCCCCACACAGUGUGUGCCUACAGUACUGACUGUGUAAACUUCUUCUUCUAGGGUAAACAUUGAACUGCAUUUUAAAUACACUACAGUGUGAGGUUUUGUUAAAUGAAAAAUCUGAUGAAAUUAAUUUGGAAGAGUCAAUGAUAAAUGCCCCCAUUUAUAAAAUAGAUAUCUAUUAGGUAUAGAUAGGUAUUUUAUAAAUUACAUUUUCAACAAAGCAUAAUAUAAUACACAGAGAAUGAACACCAGGCCUUUUCUGAAAUUUACAACAGCUCUUUUUGUGGUUGCCAGUUAAUUACUUCUGGGUGACUGGAAGCAGAAAACCCUUCAGGGCAUUAAAGGAACCUUAAUUCAUCUAGUGCUCAUAUGUCCAAAAAUACUUCCAUGCACUACCUGAAGGUGUAAGAAGGUGUAUAAAAUGAUCUGUGUACUGAGAUUAAAAACAUUUUUUAAAUUUUG